rnacentral:rRNA from 1 species
GAUGAACGCUGGCGGUAUGCUUAACACAUGCAAGUCGAACGGACUCUUCGGAGUUAGUGGCGGACGGGUGAGUAACGCGUGAGAAUCUGGCUUUGGGUUCGGGACAACCACUGGAAACGGUGGCUAAUACCGGAUGUGCCGAGAGGUAAAAGAGAAAUUGCCUGAAGAUGAGCUCGCGUCUGAUUAGCUAGUUGGUGAGGUAAAGGCUCACCAAGGCAGCGAUCAGUAGCUGGUCUGAGAGGAUGACCAGCCACACUGGGACUAAGACACGGCCCAGACUCCUACGGGAGGCAGCAGUGGGGAAUUGUCCGCAAUAGGCGAAAGCCUGACGGAGCAAUACCGCGUGAGGGAAGAAGGCUCUUGGGUUGUAAACCUCUUUUCUUAGGGAAGAACAAAAUGACGGUACCUAAGGAAUCAGCAUCGGCUAACUCCGUG